GCCCAGGUGGUGAAAUCGGUAGACACAAGGGAUUUAAAAUUCCUCGGACUUAAGGCUGUGCGGGUUCAAGUCCCGCCCUGGGCACCA
rnacentral:tRNA from 1 species